CUAUAGGAUCAGGAACACAAACAUGUAUUGCUGACCCUAUAGGAUUAAAAACACCAUCUAGCCACCCUGGCCCCUCAUGCCUCCCUAAAUACAGUAAAAUCUUACUAGUAUUCAAGUCUGCAGCUGCAUGCUUUGCCCCUGUUUCCUUUAGACCUGCCUGCUGAUAUCAGCAGAAGUGGUAGCGUGAUCCAAUCACAAUGCUUCCCCAUAGGAUUGUCUGAGACUGACAAAGAGGCAGAUCAGGGGUAGAGCCAGCACAAUUAAAACACAUUCCUG